GAGUUCAUGCCCUUCGGGGUAGAUCUCCCACCCUUUGUAUACUAUACCUUUGUUGCUUUGGCGGGCACUUACCAGCCGAAGCCAGUAGCUAGGCGGCCCGCCAGAGGACCCAAAACCCUGAAUAUUAGUGUCGUCUGAGUAAAAAGUUUAAUAUUUAAAACUUUCAACAACGGAUCUCUUGGCUCU
rnacentral:misc_RNA from 1 species